GGUGGAUGACUCACCACCUAGGAAUGAGGGGUUUAAAAAAGGUCAGCCUGGGCCUGGCCUCUCCCCUCAUCACUCGGAACAGGCUGGGCAGCUGGCACAGAGGCUCCCACACAUGGCUUGCUGCAGGACCACAUGGAAGCCAGUAUGUGAAGCAGCAUGGCUCCAGAAAAGCAGACAAUAGGAUUGGGAAGCAGCAUGGCUCCAGGGGCAUGGAGAAGGACCCAGGGCAUGGCCCAUCACCUGCAGUAUUGAAAUGUCAUGCUGGACUUGAGACCUGGAGUGGCUCUUGAUGAGCUAGUUAUUGAGACCAGAUGAAUGCAGCCAGGAUGCCCUGCUCAGAGAGACAGUGGAGGUCAUGGUUCUGACUGCGGAGUCUGCUGCAUCUGAGGCCGCCUGGAGGGCUGCUCUGGCUACUGCUUCGCCCUCUUUAAGGAUCCCACGGAACUCCUUCUUGGGGUCCUCAGGCAGCAAAUCCUCAAACUUGGCCAUGGAUUGCCACAUAUUAAAGUCGUAGUGGCCAAGCAGGGCCUGGUGGCUGACCACUCGCAACUGAAGUCUUGAGGACAAAUAAGGUUUUCUUCCAAAUAAAAUCGAACCUCUGAGUCUUUGGUUUUUGGGGUUGCACCUUGUUGGCCUUGCUUUCCCAUAUAUUAAUGGCCAACACCACCAGGGAGCUUGGGGUAGGGUAUGUGUAAAGGUAUUCAUGAUCUUUA